rnacentral:lncRNA from 1 species
AGUAACCAAGGUUUGACUUAACAGCAGCCCAGUGGAGCAGGAAGUAAAGCUUAACCAGUAAAACCCACACGCUCAAGUUUCUAACUGGAACUAAUCACUUGGGAUGUAUAUACACUGCCAUUGCCUCUGCAUCCAGUGUGCUUCCACCACUGGUUUGAGAAGGUGUGAAUACAUGACGUUAGCCACAAUCCAUAUCUAUCCUGCCUUGUUGCAUUUUAAGCCAGCGAUGUGUACACAGCCUGGUUUCAACAGGAGGAGCAGAUGGGACUAAAUUUAGAGAUAUGUAUGUAACCCCAUAGCUCAGCUUUACACCAUUUGGCUUAUUUAUAUAGGGUCCCAGAGUCAAUUCCUAGUAGCAUUCCUAGUUAGGAAUGGGACUCCUGAAUGAUACCCAGCAGAGCUGCUGCAUAGGCAGUACUGACCUUGAGAGAACAAUGGUCUCAUUCAGUAUAUACCUUUUAACAUGUGGAGUUUUUUGGGGGGGGUAAUUGGGUUGUUGUUCUUAUUUUGAUUAUGCAUUUUGUGGUUUUAUAUUUUGAUUUUAGUCUGUGAACCGCCCUGAGACCUGUGGGUAUAAAUCUGCAUAUGACCUCUACAAACAUUAGGUAGAGGGUGGGAAAGCACUAACUGAGGGGAAGGGAAGAUAAUACAAUGCAGUACAAUCAAUGAAGCACCACCCAGUAAUGCAGAUGGGGAACAUCUACAUAGAUUUGGGAGGCAUUGGUAGUGAAAAUGAUGGCGUGUGGACACAGAGUUGAAAUGCACACAAGGCAGCAGUGGCCAACAUUAUACUGAAGCCCGAGUGUGGACAAACCCUGACUGAGGCUGGUGCCAAUGGGUCUAUUGUGGUGUUUCUUCUAGCUCUACAACAUCUUUCCUUCUUUGAUGAAAUGCAUCCCUGGGCCCCACCACAAAGUGCUGAAAAACAACUUGGCACUCAGAGAGUUUGUUUUGGAGGAGGUUGAAGAGCACAAGGCCACUCUGGACGCCAACUCACCUCGGGAUUUUAUCGACUGCUUCCUUAUGAAAAUGGAUCAGGUAAUCAUGAAAACUCACAGAACUCUCCAAGUGGGUUCUCCUGUGACUCCUGAAGCUUCCCAACCAGCAGACUUCCAUCCAGCUUCUUGUGGGGAAUACCAAGCAAAGAGAUUCCUGCCCACACCCCAUUGGAGUAGAUUCAUUUCCCAUUGCUGACUUGUUCCUGCAGUAAGUGGGAAGUUCUUUCUAAUGAUUAGCCCUCUGGGCAAGGAAUGUCCAGAGGAACAAGCUAUAAAAAGACUUGAGAUAAGAUGUGUCUUGGGAAGAGAGCUGGUCCCAGUGGCGCAAUUAAAUUCUUGUUAUGUUGUACUCAGAACAAUUGAGUCGACUCCACUGGCUGUGUUGUGUGUUUCUGCAGGAAAAAGGUAAUAGUGCAUCCAAUUUCACCAUUGAAAACUUGGCCAUAAGCACAGUUGACUUGUUUGUGGCUGGAACAGAGACCACCAGCACCACAUUGCGAUACGGGUUCAUGAUCCUCCUCAAAUACCCAGAGAUACAAGGUAAAACAGAUACGUUAUUAGUACUUAUUAUUCUAGUUCUUUCCCAGAUGUAUGUGUC